AUAAGUUGACAUUCUUGGUCAGAUUAAGCUGACAUUCUUGGUCAGAUAAGUUAACAUUCUUGGUCAGAUAAGUUGACAUUCUGGAAGCAAUACAUUCAGAUAGAAACAGUGAUAUGAAGACAUUUGACUGGGAUAGACAAUGUUGUACCACCAAAAUGAACAAAGAUUUGGAGCAAUUUAGAAACAAAUAGAAAAACUAAACACUGUCAAGGACACUUGUAUGAUUUCCUGAUGCUUUAUUCUCAUUCUACAGUGUUCAAUAUUGCACACAAAUUAUUAUAUGCUUUUUAAAAUCAAGGUAUUCUGUACAAGCAGAUGAUAAUGCUAAUCCACCUACUAAUGAAAAUGUGUCAUGCUAUAGGAUAUUAAUUCUAAGGUUUAAGAUAUUUACGUUAAUUCUGAGGUUUGAGAUAUUUACAUUAAUUCUGAAGUUUAAGAUAUUUAGUCUUUUGAUCAUUUAAUUGAUCAUCCAUCUAGCUGUAUAAAUUAAAAAAAAAAAUCAAAUAGACCCCUAAUUGCUUUCAUUUUAUGGUGGCACAUAAUAUUAUAACAUUAGUGCCAUAUAUAUAUUAUGAUAUGUAAUAUUUUAUUUAAGCAAUGUCUUAUUUUUGGGUUUCUUUUGUAAUUUGUGAUCUGUUGUUUUAAUUUUUCAACUCUAUUUGGGUUGAUGUAUGCUCAUUUUACUUUUCUGGUCAUUCAAAUGAAUUGAAACCAAAUAGUUCAUGUUUACCUGAAAAUAAAAUGUAUAGUCAAAAGCAUACAUAAGUAAAAAAAAAAAUGUUAGCAAUUUUUAUUCCCUGGUAACUACAGCAGUAUUCACAAAUGAUUUAUUUUCCUUUUAAAAAGGAAUAGUCAUUCAUAACACUGGCAAAUGAUUCCAUAUUUUUUAUAAUCUCUACAUUAAAUUGUACACAAUUGUAUAGUGUAUACACUUCAUACACCUCCAAAGUAAACACAUUUAGAAUGACUUUUUCUUUUUCGCAUGAAAUGUAAGUAGCAUUUCUUGUAAACAGAACUUGAGCUUAAUAGAAGAUCUUUUACUGUAUCAAUUGAACUACAUGAUAGGCUCAUUUAAGACAAUUCAUACAAUUUUCAUGUAUCUUUCUGGAAUGUGAGAAGUCUGCUUCAAGAGAAACAUUGUAACUAGGUGUGAACUAUGAACUGAUAAGAACCCUAAUUUCGAAAGUGGUAGACUACAAUUAAAAUUCACACAUAACUAAGCAACAAUGCUAGUGGAGACAGUGUGUGUGUGUGUGCAUGCAUGUGUGACUUCCUCAUUCCAAAUCAUUGGAGGAAAUCCUUUCCAGUGGUCUUAGAGUUGUAUAUGGCUCCUGGUGAUGACUCUGUGCCUAAAUGGACUAUAUAUUAAGUUCCUUUGGGAUAGAGCUAACUGUUCCCCAUGAAGCAAUGUUUUAAGCCUUUCUGAAAAAUUAAUAAAAGGUCAAGGUUGUUAGUAAUAGGUAGCUAACAUUUUAAAAUAAAAUAGUGAUUGCUGUUUCAUUUCAUUAAAACAAAAACCUCUUGGAACAUUUUAGGUUUGUUUGAUAGGUUUGUUUGGUUUCAAUGUUUGUAUGUGUAAAUAGAGUUAGAUACCAUUAUUUUGUACUGAAACUCAUUACUUUUCUAAUGUUUAAAAUGAAUGCAUGUUUAAUGUCAACACACUGAUUGAUUCAGAACCUGGUUUGUUCUUCCCCUUUGUUCAUUGAUUCAAUCAAAUCACUUGUUAGAACUUUUGUAGUGUUUCUUUUUAUUUGAGCAGUCCUAUGUUUUUGACAUGUUGUUUUGGAAUCUGACCAGUGUCAAACUAAUGUCUCCAAACUUUGUGCUGGACACUCUGCUCAAUAUUUGUUUAUUCACAUUAUCAUUUGUUGUCUACAUUGCUCAGCUUAGUUGUUUUUGGUCAGGUUAGAACUGCUUCACAUAUUGAGCAAUAAAUAUUGAAUGUAUUUGUUAGUUGUACAGGGAACUCAGUUCAAGGUAUACAAAAGUCUUGUUUUAUUUAAUGCUCUUCCAAAACUCAAUGAUGUAUUGAAUAGAUGUAUUGCUAUGUACAGAGAUGUUUGUAUUGCCAUGGCAAUAUUUGUUUCUCUUAGAUUCAGUGGACAUUGAUUUGUGCACAAAAUUAUUUUUUUUUAAUCAAUUUCCUAAAUGUUCACUAACUCCACGUUUUAUUGUUAAUUAGAUAUAUUCGACAAUUUUUAUUUUAUUUUACUAUUUAAUUUAUUAUACCGGUAUAUACAAUGACUUGAAUUUUUAGCUUACAUACUUUUAGCAAUGACCUUCCAUUAAUUAAUAUAUUUAUCACUUUUUAUAAGUCAGUGAUGUAAGACUCACUGCUGUUGUCACCAUAGCAACACUUCAGUUGAUGUGAUUCUGGAAUCCAUCUUUUCAUGGUUAGUUAGCUAGUGUACUCAAAUCUAAUGGUGUGAUAUUGUCUGUCUCAUCUGUUGUCAGUGUUUCAGACAUGCUAUUUAGAUCUAGAUCUCUCUCUGUUCCAUAAUGUUCUCAACACUCGGAAAUAAAACACUACAAAACUUUU